rnacentral:rRNA from 1 species
GACGGAGGGUGCUAGCGUUGUUCGGAAUCACUGGGCGUAAAGGGCGCGUAGGCGGCCUUGCAAGUCGGUUGGUGAAAGCCCGGGGCUCAACCCCGGAGGUGCGGCCGAGACUGCAGGGCUGGAGGCCGGAAGAGGAGGGUGGAAUACCCAGUGUAGAGGUGAAAUUCGUAGAUAUUGGGAAGAACACCAGUGGCGAAGGCGGCUAUCUGGACCGGUACUGACGCUGAGGCGCGAAAGCGUGGGGAGCAAACAGG